UUGUUCGAGCGAAGUGGAAAGCCACGAUGAAGAAGUUUGCUCCUGUUGGCUUCCUGUUGCUUCUGAUCACCUUCUGUCAUGGGAGGUUCCCUAACUCCCUGCACACAGAAGCGAGUCAUUGGCGUAAAUUACCCUGCCCGAACCCCGAAGACAUCUUGCCUUGCACAUGCACUGCGGACCAAGAUAAUCGAGUGGACUUGGAUUGUUCGCUAGUGGCGAGCGAGGAAGAACUGGAGAGGGUGUUCUCGGCGAUCUUUCCCUUCAGUACGUUCCGAAACUUCACCCUCGUUGAUAACGCUUAUCUGAAGACCUUGACGGACCAAUCCCUCGGCAUCGCCUCCUUCACGGGCGUGUACAUCAUGAACAGCGUGCUGGAGAGGGUGGAAUCCAACGCCCUUCUGAACAGCUCUGGCACAGCUCAGGUGAUCAACAUGCAGAAUAACUUAUUGUCUUCGUUUCCCUUCGAAACCCUGUCCUCUUUCAGCAGCCUCGUGGAGCUCGACCUCAGUGACAACAAGCUUGCUUUUCCUGCCCUCGGGUCCGAGUCGCUGCUCAUACUCGACCUGUCCAACAACCUGGUCGACAGCGUCUCCGCCACGGCCUUCUCGGAUACGCCGGAGAUCUCGGAAAUUAAUCUCGGAGGAAACCAAAUAAGUCAAAUUCCUACAGGCACCUUCGCGGGGCACCAUAACUUGUACCACGUGAACCUAGAAUCGAACGCGCUGACCUACCUUCCCGAGGGCGCCAUACAGCUGACCUCCAGCAGUUCGGGGACGGUCAUUCUGCGGAAUAACCAGAUCGCAGAUGUUGCUGUUAAUUGUAUAACAGAUGUGUCCGGCGGCAACGUGGACGUCAGCAACAAUUCUUUGAAGGCUUUGAAGGAGGACGUUUUCCGACCUAUUCUGGAUGAACACACGGCUCUCGACAUCAAAAACAACCCGUUGACCUGCGGCUGCGACAUCGCGUGGCUGAUCCGCGACUCCUCCCUGCUGAAGCUGGUGGCGGAGGGCGCCGCCUGCUUCGACCACGAGCUGCUCGUCGACCUCGACCCCGGGAUUUUCGACGACAUGGGAUGCCCCUAGGGGUGGGGAUUCGCUGCUUCGGUUGCCGUCUGUGUCCAGGGGCGUGUCUAGGGGCGUGUCUUAGGGCGUGUCCGAGGAGGGGGGAGGUAAUCUUCCUCGACUGGAGUUCGCAGGCCAGCGUCUCCCUCGCCACGGCGCCGAUCUUCCUCUCCGUUGCUCUUAUAGCUUUCAGUUUCAAUUAACAUAUCUUUAUAGUCGGUUGUUGAUUAACAUGUAAAAUAAAAUAUGAUACCCGGUAAACAGUGUGAAUAAAAAGGAGAAACAUAUGUUCCAAAACUGAAAUCAUAUCCUUGAUUUAAUUCGCAGCUUUUCAGAAUGUAUUUCGGAAUGUAUAAAAACAAAUCAAACUAGU
rnacentral:misc_RNA from 1 species